rnacentral:rRNA from 1 species
AGUGAACGCUGGCGGUAGGCCUAACACAUGCAAGUCGAACGGCAGCACAGUAAGAGCUUGCUCUUACGGGUGGCGAGUGGCGGACGGGUGAGGAAUACAUCGGAAUCUACUUUUUCGUGGGGGAUAACGUAGGGAAACUUACGCUAAUACCGCAUACGACCUACGGGUGAAAGCAGUGGAUCUUCGGACCUUGCGCGAUUGAAUGAGCCGAUGUCGGAUUAGCUAGUUGGCGGGGUAAAGGCCCACCAAGGCGACGAUCCGUAGCCGGUCUGAGAGGAUGAUCAGCCACACUGGAACUGAGACACGGUCCAGACUCCUACGGGAGGCAGCAGUGGGGAAUAUUGGACAAUGGGCGCAAGCCUGAUCCAGCCAUACCGAGUGGGUGAAGAAGGCCUUCGGGUUGUAAAGCCCUUUUGUUGGGAAAGAAAAGCAGCAGGUUAAUACCCCGCUGUUCUGACGGUACCCAAAGAAUAAGCACCGGCUAACUUCGUG